GGGACUACUGGAUCGGGUUGGACGACAGCGAGAGAGAAACAUUUCGCGUGGAAUGACGGGACGGCUCUGGAGUACCAGAACUGGGCCAGUCGUCGUCGUCGGGUACGGACUGCGCAUGCGUCAUGUCGUCUGGGAAAUGGAACCUGUACCGGUGUCGACAGAGGAAGGCUUACAUCUGUCAGAUGCCGCGAGUGUGGUGAGCUGUGUGGUUUUCAAAGAUCGACACAACAGCAAAAUUGGUGGGACCGUACCAGCAUUAGAUAAACAUUGAAGUAGCAUAUCUAUAACGAGAUACAGUCGUACUGACGUGGUGUCACCAGUGUAUCUACAUUAAACCGACAGUGAAAAUUAUAUGCGUCGGAGAGAUAUGCUAAACAUUCUUCCUCGAGCUCAAAUAAAUUCAGUGAAAGACGAAAGCAAUUUCAUCUCCAGCUAUUUAUUUUAAAAAUGAUUUUAAAAGAAGACAAACUGUUUACAGACGCUUCUAAAGUAUAUCUUUGCUUUCCCAUCAUUACCGACGAAAA